UUUUGGACAAUGGGGGCAACCCUGAUCCAGCCAUGCCGCGUGAGUGAAGAAGGCCUUCGGGUUGUAAAGCUCUUUCGGACGGAACGAAAUGGUUACGGUCAAUACCCGUGACUGAUGACGGUACCGUAAGAAGAAGCACCGGCUAACUACGUGCCAGCAGCCGCGGUAAUACGUAGGGUGCGAGCGUUAAUCGGAAUUACUGGGCGUAAAGCGUGCGCAGGCGGUUUCGUAAGCUGGAGGUGAAAUCCCCGGGCUUAACCUGGGAAUGGCCUUCAGGACUGCGAGGCUAGAGUGCGGCAGAGGGAGGUGGAAUUCCACGUGUAGCAGUGAAAUGCGUAGAUAUGUGGAGGAACACCGAUGGCGAAGGCAGCCUCCUGGGCCAGCACUGACGCUCAUGCACGAAA
rnacentral:rRNA from 1 species